rnacentral:tRNA from 1 species
GGCAGGAUGGCCGAGUGGUUAUGGCGGAGGGUUCAAGCAUAGACUCGCACGAAAAUUGUGAUGUUACUUUCCUGAUGAAAAUUUAGGACGCUUUUCCUCUGGAGCAAUCCGCAGGGGUUCGAAUCCCCUUCCUGUCA